CGAUUAAACUCUGUUAAUUACUGUCCAUGGAGAGAAAUUACGACCACGUUUUGUCAAUUAGGAACUCAUGCACAAGAUCAUUAUUAGCUAUAACUCAAUGUUACGGAGUGGAAUUACAACUGGGGAGUACCAAAUAAAAGUGGACAAUGACAAAGAUCAGGAACUGGGGAUUGGAGUAGGCCAUUCAAGCCCCUCGAGUCUUGAGUCGCCCAUCAAUAAGAUCAUGGUUGAACUACUUUGUUGCUCCAUCCACCUGUCGAAGUUCCAGAUCCUUCUACAUCUUUGAAGAUAUCUCUUCAAGAGAAUCCUGAGACGACUUUGGAAUAUGACUUGGGC